rfam:Candidatus Blackburnbacteria bacterium RIFCSPHIGHO2_12_FTLL_41_13b rifcsphigho2_12_scaffold_52323, whole genome shotgun sequence.
AUUAAAGCGUUACGCGAGCUGGGUUCAGAACGUCGUAAGACAGUUCGGACUCUAUCCGGUGCAUACGGAGGAUUUUUGAGAGGAGUUAGCCACAGUACGAGAGGACCUGGCAGAAAGGAUCCCUGAUCUAUCAGUUGUUCGGCAACGAGCAGUGCUGAGUAGUCACAUCCUUACGGGAUAACCGCUGAAAGCAUCUAAGCGGGAAGCCCACCUCAAGAUGAAAAAUCCAUUCCCGAUUUAUCGGGAUGAAGACCCCUAGAAGACUACUAGGUUAAUAGGAGGCAGAUGGAAGUCCUGUAAGGGAUUAAGUCAAGCCUUACUAAUCGGUCGAAAGACAAAAAUUA